CAUUACUGAGUUACCGCUCUAUAACCCUUUGUGAACAUACCUCAACUGUUGCUUCGGCGGGUAGGGGCCCCGUGAGAAGGGCCGCUCCCGGCCGGCCGCCCGCGUCACGCGGGUGGACGGCGCCCGCCGGAGGAUAACCAAACUCUGAUUUAACGACGUUUCUUCUGAGUGAUACAAGUAAAAUAAUCAAAACUUUUAACAACGGAUCUCUUGGUUCUGGCAUCGAUGAAGAACGCAGCGAAAUGCGAUAAGUAAUGUGAAUUGCAGAAUUCAGUGAAUCAUCGAAUCUUUGAACGCACAUUGCGCCCGCCAGCAUUCUGGCGGGCAUGCCUGUUCGAGCGUCAUUUCAACCCUCAAGCACUGCUUGGUGUUGGGGCCCUACGGUUGACGUAGGCCCUCAAAGGUAGUGGCGGACCCUCCCGGAGCCUCCUUUGCGUAGUAACUUUACGUCUCGCACUGGGAUCCGGAGGGACUCUUGCCGUAAAACCCCCCAAUUUUAACAAGGUUGACCUCGGAUCAGGUAG
rnacentral:rRNA from 1 species